rnacentral:misc_RNA from 1 species
ACGAAUAUAUGUCUGUUUUAAGACAUUUUUCUAUUUCAAACACCUGUGAAUUUUAUGAAAUUUUUGCUUUGGCUGAAAUUAAAUUAUAUAUUUUUUUUCGGCCAAAAGUUUUUAAUUAAAACCUUUUUAUUUAUAAACAUUUUGAAUCUGAAGACUGUUUUAUGAAAAAUUUAUUUA